AGGAGGCCAACGACUGCGAACUGCGUGGACCUGAGCUGGCAUUUGGCCAGGACAAUGGGAUUAACUUCCCAAGCGCUGGCCAAAAAGGGCCCUGGGAUUUUUAUUUUUAUUCGUUUUCCAUUACAACUGCACAGCAACGCAAACAAAGCCCCAAACAAGGACUCCCUCGAGUGACUGGGUGCAGACUGGAGAGAGGGAGAGCCAGGCAGUGGUGACAAAGCUGCCCUGUGGCAAGUACUCGUGGAGAGAUGACUGCCUAAUAAACCUGUAAAGGC
rnacentral:lncRNA from 1 species